UUUGACCUGAACUCAGUCGAGAUCACCCG
rnacentral:rRNA from 1 species